UAUGACAAUCACCGAGGUACUCUUGACACACCACAUUCAAGCUUCAGGACAAAAAGGAGUACCCCUGUAGAGGGAAGUUUUGACCCACAUAUAUAUUGAUGUCAUAGGGGUGCCAAGGGGGGUACCAAAUGGUUUCAAAGUCAAAGAUGAAGUUUGAGUAUUUCCUCAACCAUCACUGCUAAUAAUAUUUUGAUUUGCAUUUAUUAUAUCUAUUACAUCCAACAGUGCUUUGUUAAUUAUACUAGAGAUGCCUUACAAGAGCUGGCUUAACUCUUACACACAUCCCAGAUGGCCCUAGACACGAUUUUGGCAAAGAAGGAAGGAGUAUGUAAAAUACUCCCAGAUACUAUUACAUGACAUGUUGUACCUACAUUGCAGAUAACACAGGUUCAUAUGGUAACAUAACCUUGACAAUAGAGAAGCUAGGGUGUCCCUCUGAAGAAUUAAAAGGAAUUCAGGAACCAUUAAUUCAUGGGGUAGAUGGUUUGAUGGAUGAAUGGCUAGCAAAAGGUUCUGACCCAGAUAGGCGUGGC